GUGAGUCAUCGAAUCUUUGAACGCAUAUUGCGCCCUUUGGUAUUCCGAAGGGCAUGCCUGUUCGAGCGUCAUUAUCACCCCUCAAGCCCCCGGGCUUGGUGUUGGACGGUUUGGUCUCGGGUGACGAGACCCCUCCUAAAGUCAAUGACGGCGGCCUGCUCGACCCCCGGUACACUGAGCUUCUUAACUGAGCACGUAUCGGCCUAGGCAGGACACCGGUCUUAUUCCUUAACCGGAAAACCUCUCUUCAAGGUUGACCUCGGAUCAGGUAGGGAUACCCGCUGAACUUAAGCAUAUCAAUAAGCGGAGGA
rnacentral:misc_RNA from 1 species